UCUCUCUCUCUGAGCUGAAGCUGAGCGCAGGAUGCAGACGAUUACUAGGCGCGCCGGGCAGCGGUACCUGAAUCCGGCAACGUCGUCGCUCAAGUCAAUCUACCCUAUCUCCGAUCACCGUUAUGGAGGUGAGCGUCCAAAGUACGGAUCUACCCUCGCCACGAAGGGAGUGGGGAACCUUGUGCGCAAGGGCACUGGUGGAAGAUCAUCUGUUAGUGGCAUUGUCGCUGCAGUUUUUGGAUCUACUGGGUUCCUUGGUCGUUAUCUUGUGCAACAACUGGCCAAAAUGGGAAGCCAGGUAUUAGUUCCGUUCCGUGGUUCUGAAGAUUCUCAUCGUCAUCUCAAGUUGAUGGGAGAUUUGGGACAGAUAGUUCCCAUGAAGUACAAUCCAAGAGAUGAAAGUUCAAUUAAGGCAGUAAUGGCAAAAGCUAAUGUGGUUAUCAAUCUUAUUGGAAGAGAGUAUGAGACAAGAAACUUUAGCUUUGAGGAAGUGAAUCAUUCCAUGGCUGAACAACUUGCAAUGAUUUCCAAAGAACAUGGUGGCAUCACGAGAUUUAUUCAAGUUUCUUGCUUAGGGGCAGAUGCCUCAUCACCAUCUAGAUAUCUCAAGGCUAAAGCUGCUGCAGAGGGUGCUGUUUUAAGGGAAUUACCAGAGGCCACCAUCAUGAGACCGGCGGUGAUUGUUGGUACGGAGGAUCGAAUUUUGAAUCGAUGGGCUCAUGUUUCAAAAAAAUAUGGCUUUCUUCCACUUGUUGGGGAUGGGUCUACCAAAAUCCAACCUGUGUAUGUUGCUGAUGUUGCUGGUGCAAUUGUUUCUGCGCUUCAAGAUGAUGGCACCAGCAUGGGAAAGGUUUACGAACUUGGUGGGCCUGAUAUAUAUACAGUGCAUCAAUUGGCAGAGCUUAUGUUUGACAUGAUCCGGGAAUGGCCUCACUAUGUGAAGAUUCCAAUCCCAAUUGCAAAGGCAAUUGCAAUGCCACGAGAAAUAUUGCUUAACAAAGUUCCUUUUCCAUUGCCAAAUCCUGAAAUCUUCAACCUAGAUCAAAUCCUUGCCCAAGCUCCGGAUACAGUUGUCUCAGAAAAUGCCUUGACGUUCAAUGACCUUGGAAUGUUGCCCCAUAAGAUCAAGGGUUACCCGAUUGAGUUUCUUAUCCAAUAUCGUAAAGGUGGACCGAACUUCGGUUCUACAGUCAGUGAAAAAGUGUCUCCAGAUUCUUAUCCAUGAGUUUCUCAGGCUUUCAAAUUCUGUAAUGCUUAGUCCAGGAGUGGAACCCACUUAGGAUCUUCAAAUCAGGUUUUAGAGAGGGUUGCCUUCUGUUGAAAAAUUGUAGGAAACAAUAAAGGAUGUGGAGAGUUAUGAUUUUACAGUUUCAUAUCCGUAACAUUUGACUGAAUUUCAUCCAUUUGUAAUUUGAAGAUAGCAUGGAUUUUUGUUUUCAUUUUUGCUGAUUGUUCAUAAGCCCCGAGUUGAGGGGAAUUCCAUGCAUCUACUUUUAGCUCUAUUAGUAAAGAAGUGUUUUCCUCUUGAACUA